rnacentral:rRNA from 1 species
AGUUGGUGGAGCGAUUUGUCUGGUUAAUUCCGAUAACGAACGAGACUCUAGCCUAUUAAAUAGUUCACCGAUCUGUCUUGUCGGUGUCAACUUCUUAGAGGGACAAGUGUCGUAUAGGCACACGAGAUUGAGCAAUAACAGGU